rnacentral:rRNA from 1 species
UACGGAGGAUCCAAGCGUUAUCCGGAAUCAUUGGGUUUAAAGGGUCCGUAGGCGGUUUUGUAAGUCAGUGGUGAAAUCUGGUCGCUCAACGAUCAAACGGCCAUUGAUACUGCAAGACUUGAAUUAUUGUGAAGUAACUAGAAUAUGUAGUGUAGCGGUGAAAUGCUUAGAUAUUACAUGGAAUACCAAUUGCGAAGGCAGGUUACUAACAAUAUAUUGACGCUGAUGGACGAAAGCGUGGGGAGCGAACAGG